rnacentral:rRNA from 1 species
UACGUAGGCAGCAAGCGUUGUUCGGAGUUACUGGGCGUAAAGGGUGCGUAGGCGGCUUUUUAAGUCUGGUGUGAAAUCUCCCGGCUCAACUGGGAGGGUGCGCCGGAUACUGAGGGGCUAGAGUGUGGGAGAGGAAAGUGGAAUUCCUGGUGUAGCGGUGAAAUGCGUAGAUAUCGGGAGGAACACCUGUGGUGUAGACGGCUUUCUGGACCAUAACUGACGCUGAGACACGAAAGCGUGGGUAGCAAACAGG